GCACCUACCGAUUGAAUGGUUCGGUGAAAAUCUCGGACUCCGGCUUGGAUGCCUUCGGGCAACCAAGCUGUGGAAAGUUGUUUAAACCUCAUCAUUUAGAGGAAGGUGAAGUCGUAACAAGGUUUCCGUAGGUGAACCUGCAGAAGGAUCAAUCCCGCAAGAGCUUCGUUUAGGUUAAGUGUCUAUUUCUCUGUGUUCUCCUUAUCAUUUCCUAUCUCUUCUUUUCCUUUCUCUUUCUUUUCUCUUCCUUUCCCCUCCUUCUCUCCCUCUUUCUCUU
rnacentral:misc_RNA from 1 species